GUCUGCGGCCAUACCACCCUGAACAAACACGAUCUUGUCUGAUCUCGGAAGCUAAGUAGGGUUGGACCUGGUUAGUACUUGGAUGGGAGAAAUUGGAAAGUCACUGUUC
rnacentral:rRNA from 1 species